AACGAACGCUGGCGGCAUGCCUAACACAUGCAAGUCGAACGAGACCUUCGGGUCUAGUGGCGCACGGGUGCGUAACGCGUGGGAACCUUCCCUUAGGUUCGGAAUAACUCCCCGAAAGGGGUGCUAAUACCGGAUAAUUUCUUCUGACCAAAGAUUUAUCGCCUUUGGAUGGGCCCGCGUUGGAUUAGCUAGUUGGUAGGGUAAAAGCCUACCACGGCGACGAUCCAUAGCUGGUCUGAGAGGAUGAUCAGCCACACUGGGACUGAGACACGGCCCAGACUACUACGGGAGGCAGCAGUGGGGAAUAUUGGACAAUGGGCGAAAGCAUGAUCCAGCAAUGCCGCGUGAGUGAUGAAGGCCUUAGGGUUGUAAAGCUGUUUUACCCGGGAUGAUAAUGACAGUACCGGGAGAAUAAGCACCGGCUAACUCCGUG
rnacentral:rRNA from 1 species